GAUGAACGCUGGCGGCGUGCCUAAUACAUGCAAGUCGAGCGAACGGACGAGAAGCUUGCUUCUCUGAUGUUAGCGGCGGACGGGUGAGUAACACGUGGAUAACCUACCUAUAAGACUGGGAUAACUUCGGGAAACCGGAGCUAAUACCGGAUAAUAUUUUGGACCGCAUGGUUCAAAAGUGAAAGACGGUCUUGCUGUCACUUAUAGAUGGAUCCGCGCUGCAUUAGCUAGUUGGUAAGGUAACGGCUUACCAAGGCAACGAUGCAUAGCCGACCUGAGAGGGUGAUCGGCCACACUGGAACUGAGACACGGUCCAGACUCCUACGGGAGGCAGCAGUAGGGAAUCUUCCGCAAUGGGCGAAAGCCUGACGGAGCAACGCCGCGUGAGUGAUGAAGGUCUUCGGAUCGUAAAACUCUGUUAUUAGGGAAGAACAUAUGUGUAAGUAACUGUGCGCAUCUUGACGGUACCUAAUCAGAAAGCCACGGCUAACUACGUGCCAGCAGCCGCGGUAAUACGUAGGUGGCAAGCGUUAUCCGGAAUUAUUGGGCGUAAAGCGCGCGUAGGCGGUUUUUUAAGUCUGAUGUGAAAGCCCACGGCUCAACCGUGGAGGGUCAUUGGAAACUGGAAAACUUGAGUGCAGAAGAGGAAAGUGGAAUUCCAUGUGUAGCGGUGAAAUGCGCAGAGAUAUGGAGGAACACCAGUGGCGAAGGCGACUUUCUGGUCUGUAACUGACGCUGAUGUGCGAAAGCGUGGGGAUCAAACAGG
rnacentral:rRNA from 1 species